UACCAGCACCCCGAGUGGUCGGGACGUUUAUUGGGCCUAAAGCAUCCGUAGCCGGUUCUACAAGUCUUCCGUUAAAUCCACCUGCUUAACAGAUGGGCUGCGGAAGAUACUAUAGAGCUAGGAGGCGGGAGAGGCAAGCGGUACUCGAUGGGUAGGGGUAAAAUCCGUUGAUCCAUUGAAGACCACCAGUGGCGAAGGCGGCUUGCCAGAACGCGCUCGACGGUGAGGGAUGAAAGCUGGGGGAGCAACCGG
rnacentral:rRNA from 1 species